CAAACUUUAAAAACAGCAGUGAUAUAUUUCCUAUUUUAGAUGCGAAUUUUCUUUGGAGAAAUUAGUGCAUCAGAACAGCUAUCUUCUUGGGUGAAGAAAAUGAUAUUAAACCAACUGCCUGCUGUAUUAUCUCAGUGGUUCAAAUCACGAAAAGACUCCAAGAAUGCCCAAGAGAACUCCUGAGAAGCAAUCCAGUUUCACUGGAGAAAUAUAUUGACUGACCUGCUGGACUGGAGCUAAAGCUGACACAACUUGUCCUGGGGGUGGGGUAAAGGUGGAUUUGCCUUUCACAUGUAAACGAGUUAUAGGAGAAAUAGAAAGAAAUGCAGCCAUGCUUAUUGUCUAUUAGCAGGAUCAUCUAUUAAAAACCACGUUUUGAAGAGAAAAUUAAGAUCUUAGAUGUGUAAGUUGUAAUAAGUCUCUACUAUGGCAGAGAGAGAAAGUGUCCUGAUUCCUAGCCCAAACAAAUGUCCAUAUGAACAGCCUUUCUGUCCAUAAAAAAUUGAGUCUUAUUGAGCACUAUGUACUAGGCAGCACCUUAAAUAUUUUCUGCUAGAUAGAUGUAUAUAAUUUUUUACAGCUUUUCAUUCUAACUAUAUAAAAAAUACCAUUUAAUAAAAAGUUUUCUCCAAAAAUGUAUUAAUAUGCAAUGGAAAGUUAUUUAAUAAAGCUGUGGUAAAUGGAAAGGACAUGUUCUAGUGGUCCUCUGAGGUGAUAAUGGUAGGCAUAUGAGAAUUGCUUCUAUUAAAUUUUGUAUAUUGUACUCAUUAAUAAAUACUACUAUGAUUUUUAAAAAUCAGGUGAAAAUAACAAGGUAUCCAAUGACUCGUUGUUAUAGUUAUCAUUUCCUUCA
rnacentral:lncRNA from 1 species